rnacentral:rRNA from 1 species
AGUGAACGCUGGCGGUAGGCCUAACACAUGCAAGUCGAACGGCAGCACAGGAGAGCUUGCUCUCUGGGUGGCGAGUGGCGGACGGGUGAGGAAUACAUCGGAAUCUACUCUGUCGUGGGGGAUAACGUAGGGAAACUUACGCUAAUACCGCAUACGACCUACGGGUGAAAGCAGGGGACCUUCGGGCCUUGCGCGAUUGAAUGAGCCGAUGUGGGAUUAGCUAGUUGGCGGGGUAAAGGCCCACCAAGGCGACGAUCCGUAGCUGGUCUGGGAGGAUGAUCAGCCACACUGGAGCUGAGACACGGUCCAGACUCCUACGGGAGGCAGAAGUGGGGAAUAUUGGACACUGGGCGCAAGCCUGAUCCAGCCAUACCGCGUGGGUGAAGAAGGCCUUCGGGUUGUAAAGCCCUUUUGUUGGGAAAGAAAUCCAGCUGGCUAAUACCCGGUUGGGAUGACGGUACCCAAAGAAUAAGCACCGGCUAACUUCGUGCCAGCCGCCGCAGUAA